GGGGGUACUGUUUUACACAUGAGUCUUAACUGAAUACAAAUAUGUGUAUUUUAUUGCAGUAAAAGCAAACAGUAUUAUGACAUUGACAGUUAAAAUGUCAUGCAGAACUAAAAAAAUAAAAAAAAUCUUAUUUUCUCCAAUUUUUUUCAAAUCAAAUUAUGUUUCACAGCUAAAUAUUUGAUAUUAAAUGAAAGCCCUGUUUCCCCUGAAUAAAAUGAUAUAUAAUAAGGGUGGGUGCAUUUAAUAUGAAAGAGGUGAAUUACGGUUGGACAGACGUGUAGCGCAAAUACCAGGUUUUGUUUACGUUUUGUUUCGUUCACAACGUGUAUAUUUGGCUCCGUCCUUAAGGGGUUAAUGCAAAUCAGCAUGAGGUUGGUUACUGGGUAGCUUUGAGGCUUGGAGGUACUUGCGAAGCAACAACCAAAACAUUUAUGGUGGGGAAAAAAUUGUGAUUGAAAACCCCUUCCACCUGAAGUCUGUGGAUAGUUAAUACAAUGUUAAACAAAAAUCUGCACACCAGUCAAGCAACAACCAAAAUAGUUAUGGUGGGAAAAAAUGUGAUUGAAAACCCCUUCCAUAGUUAAUACAGCUGUAUUAGUUGUAUACAGCAAACACAGACUCAGAGGAAUCCAUGUUUAAAAUGGAAUGAGGCAAAAACUUGAUUCUUUGUUGAACUAAUUUGUAUAUGCCCACCCAGAAUCCUUUGUGGUAGUAACAUCACUGCAAAUUUGUAAUUUCUGUGGGAAAAGCAAGUCUUAUGGAUUGACUGGAUUGUUCACCCUUCAGGUGGAAGGGGUUUUCAAUCACAAUUUUGC